GAUGAACGCUGGCGGCGUGCCUAAUACAUGCAAGUCGAGCGAACAGAUGAGGAGCUUGCUCCUCUGACGUUAGCGGCGGACGGGUGAGUAACACGUGGAGAACCUGCCUAUAAGACUGGGAUAACUUCGGGAAACCGGAGCUAAUACCGGAUAAUAUAUUUAACCGCAUGUUUCAAGAUUGAAAGACGCUAUUGCUGUCACUUAUAGAUGUAUCCGGGCGUCAUUAGCAGGUUGUUAAGGUAACGGUUUACCAAGCGGACGAUGCUUAGCCGCCUGGAGAGGGUGAUGGGCCACACGGGAACUGAGAAACGGUCCAGACUCUUACGGGAGGCAGAAGUAGGGAAUCUUCCGAAAUGGGCGAAAGCCGGACGGAGCAACGCCGCGUGAGUGAUGAAGGUCUUCGGAUCGUAAACCUCUGUUAUUAGGGAAGAACAAAUGUGUAAGUAACUAUGCACGUCUUGACGGUACCUAAUCAGAAAGCCACGGCUAACUACGUG
rnacentral:rRNA from 1 species